ACGACGUCGCGCGUGUCGAUGAGCCCGCGCCAGAAGCCCGAGAGGCGCGUCUGGAAGCUCACGUAACGCAGCACGUCGCCGACCGCGCCGUGGCCCGAGACCUCGGCGAUGUCGUCCAAGAACCAGAGCGUCCCGAGCACCGCGAAGGUGAUGAAGAACGCAG
rnacentral:misc_RNA from 1 species